AGCGAGCUGAUCUCACUCACCGUCAGACACCGGGUUGCUGGGAAGCAGACGAGGACUCGAUGGCAAAUGUCCUUCUCCUGAGUGUUAUCCUACAUAUGGGAGGCAGGGCACAAAAAUGCCCACUUCCAGAAAACAGCCUUGCAGUAGAAGAUUUUUUUAAAAAGAAAAAUAAAACUGAAAAUUUGACUUCCUGUACGCCCUGCAAAGAAGGGGGUGGAGCAGAGCUGUGAACGUGUGAGGAGCAGCUGGCUUUUAUUUUUAAACACAUACUAGAGUUACCCAGAUAUUUUUCUAGAAAAAUGGAAGGAGACCUACUAAAGGAUUCUGACACAGAGGAAUAUCAUUUCAGGUCUGAGGUCGUGAGCAAACUUAAACUGUAACAGUAAGAAAGCCACGGAAGAACCAACCAAGCUCCGCUGCACUUCUGAGGCCACUGGGUCGUAAAUCUGGAAAUGAUAAGGCAAUUGACGCACAGCCAAGUCACUCUGUGGGUUUUAGGGUCAGCUUAUGGAACUAGUUUCUGUAAACUCUCACCAAGGAUUGAAAAAACAGGGUCCACAGGAAUGUGCAAGAUAAUGUAAAUGAUCAAGCAAGCAGGGCGUAAGGGCGUAAGGGAGUAACGGUGAUCAUGGCGAACCCCAUCUAAAGAGAACUAAUUAAAAGUUUAAAAAAAUCGUGCAAGCCAAACAAAGCAA